UGGUAAUGAACUGAUUAUGAACACCGCGCUAUGUUGCAUCGCUUAUUUAUAAUGCCAUCCCCCACGAGGUGGUGGUCCGCUGGGGGUACGCUUCCGUGGGAAUCGGGAUGUUGCAGUUUGGGCUUCUUAGAAUCGUACGUGACAAAAUGUAAAUACCAUAUUUCGACUUAGUUUUUAUCAGUCUUGUGUUUCCGCUGAGCUAGCGUCUAGGAGAUUUGAGGCAUUCCACGCUGAUCUAGUCCGUUUCGCGAGAAACUUCCACGUGCUGUACCGUGGGAAUUACCGGUGUUUCUUCGGCGCGUGGAAGGGCUGGUGGCUGCAGCAUCAUUAUUAUUUUAAAGUUUGCUCGGGCAACACGCGCAACUCCGCUGCUCUCCCAUAACAAAGACCUCCUCCUUCGAAUUGUUUUGCGCUUCGGUGAUCGACGUUCGAACCAUGUUUGCUGAGUCGUUUCUAUCAGAGGUUCCUUUCCAGACUUCCCUGCCCAAGCGAAAGAGGGAUUCCGAAG